UCCUACGGGAGGCAGCAGUGGGGAAUAUUGCACAAUGGGCGAAAGCCUGAUGCAGCAACGCCGCGUGAGCGAAGAAGGCCUUCGGGUCGUAAAGCUCUGUCCUAAGGGAAGAAAAAUGACGGUACCUUAGGAGGAAGCCCCGGCUAACUACGUGCCAGCAGCCGCGGUAAUACGUAGGGGGCGAGCGUUAUCCGGAAUCACUGGGCGUAAAGGGUGCGUAGGCGGCCAAAUAAGCCAGGGGUGAAAGGCUGCGGCUCAACCGCAGUAAGCCUUUGGAACUGUAUGGCUUGAGUGCAGGAGAGGAGAGUGGAAUUCCUAGUGUAGCGGUGAAAUGCGUAGAUAUUAGGAGGAACACCAGUGGCGAAGGCGACUCUCUGGACUGCAACUGACGCUGAGGCACGAAAGCGUGGGGAGCGAACAGGAUUAGAUACCCUGGUAGUCCACGCCGUAAACGAUGAGUGCUAGGUGUCGGGGGUUCACACCCUCGGUGCCGGAGUUAACGCAUUAAGCACUCCGCCUGGGGAGUACGGUCGCAAGACUGAAACUCAAAGGAAUUGACGGA
rnacentral:rRNA from 1 species